GCUCAAAUGGCCAAGUGGUAAGGCGUCGCACUCGUAGCUCGUUUCAGACGACGAUAUGCGAAGAUCGCCAGUUCAAUCCUGGCUUUGAGCU